rnacentral:rRNA from 1 species
GAUGAACGCUGGCGGCGUGCCUAAUACAUGCAAGUCGAGCGAACGGACGAGAAGCUUGCUUCUCUGAUGUUAGCGGCGGACGGGUGAGUAACACGUGGAUAACCUACCUAUAAGACUGGGAUAACUUCGGGAAACCGGAGCUAAUACCGGAUAAUAUUUUGAACCGCAUGGUUCAAAAGUGAAAGACGGUCUUGCUGUCACUUAUAGAUGGAUCCGCGCUGCAUUAGCUAGUUGGUAAGGUAACGGCUUACCAAGGCAACGAUGCAUAGCCGGCCUGAGAGGGUGAUCGGCCACACUGGAACUGAGACACGGUCCAGACUCCUACGGGAGGCAGCAGUAGGGAAUCUUCCGCAAUGGGCGAAAGCCUGACGGAGCAACGCCGCGUGAGUGAUGAAGGUCUUCGGAUCGUAAAACUCUGUUAUUAGGGAAGAACAUAUGUGUAAGUAACUGUGCACAUCGUGACGGUACCUAAUCAGAAAGCCACGGCUAACUACGUG